rnacentral:misc_RNA from 1 species
GGAAGUAAAAGUCGUAACAGGGUUUCCGUAGGUGAACCUGCGGAAGGAUCAUUACCGAGUGAGGGCCCUCUGGGUCCAACCUCCCACCCGUGUUUAUCGUACCUUGUUGCUUCGGCGGGCCCGCCUCACGGCCGCCGGGGGGCACCCGCCCCCGGGCCCGCGCCCGCCGAAGACACCAUUGAACGCUGUCUGAAGAUUGCAGUCUGAGCAUCUUAGCUAAAUCAGUUAAAACUUUCAACAACGGAUCUCUUGGUUCCG